GAUGAACGCUGGCGGCGUGCCUAAUACAUGCAAGUCGAGCGAACAGAUGAGGAGCUUGCUCCUCUGACGUUAGCGGCGGACGGGUGAGUAACACGUGGAUAACCUACCUAUAAGACUGGGAUAACUUCGGGAAACCGGAGCUAAUACCGGAUAAUAUAUUGAACCGCAUGGUUCAAUAGUGAAAGACGGUUUUGCUGUCACUUAUAGAUGGAUCCGCGCCGGAUUAGCUAGUUGGUAAGGUAACGGCUUACCAAGGCAACGAUGCGUAGCCGACCUGAGAGGAUGAGCAGCCACACUGGAAAUGAGAGCCGGUCCAGACUACUACGGGAGGCAGCAGGAGGGAAUAUUGGGAAAUGGGAGCAAGCCUGAUGCAGCAAUUCCGCGUGGUUGAAGAAGGCAUUCGGGUUGUAAAACCCUUUUGUUGGGAAAGAAAAGCAGAAGGGUAAUACCGCGAUGUUCUGACGGUACCUAAAGAAGAAGCACCGGCUAACUUCGUG
rnacentral:rRNA from 1 species